UCUCUCCUUUAAUUUUCCACGCACAAAACUCCUGGGUUUUUGGCAUCUCAUCUGAUCUCUUCUCAGCCUCCCAACAUUCCUUGCAACCCAUAUUUAAAUAGGCUAAAGGGAUAAGACUUUGGGUAGGAAGAUAAGAGUCCAUAACGCUUAGGACUCUUAAAAUUUUUAUGCCGCCCAUAACAAGGUUUCACGCUCAGAUUUCUCACGGAAGAAAAGAAGAUUAAACUCCUCCUUACACGUUAAAAGGUGAUGGGGCGUGGAGUAUUUGUGGCGCACAAAAUCAAGGUGGUGUGGGGUUAUUUUAAGGUACAUGAAAGGAAGAGUUUCAAUCCAUAUAGGACUCUUGUUUAGGUGGCUGUUUUGAAUCAAAUUAAAACUCCAAUCAAUCCUAAUCAUAUUAGGACCAGAUUAGACCCAAAUAGAUGAAAAUUCAAAUCUGAUUUGGAGUCCAAAUUAUUUAGAUUAGAUGUCACCUAAUUAGAGAAGUCCUAGUCCUUUUGGGCUCUUUUUUGGUGCUUGAGUCAAACUCAAUUUAAUCCUAAUCCAAUUAGGAUUUAGUACACCCAUGAAAAUGAGAAUUUUUAGUCCAAAUAGGAACUCAUACAUCCUAGUCUAAUUAGAAAUUGAGUCAAAUUCAAAUCCAAAUUCAAAUAGGAAUCAUUCUCUCAUACAAUUUAGAUUAUCUUAUAACCCAAUCAGGUUUGAUCAAAUCAAACCCAUAUCAAAUCAAAUUAAAUUCAAUUUAAUUAGACUUCAUAUAAGCCCCAUAGCUCAAUCAAAUUGAACCACUUAGCAAUCCAAUUGCUAAUUAAUCCUCCUAUAACUCAGUAACUCUUUAACGAGUUACUUGAUUGCAACUUUUAUAUUGGAUCAAUCAUCAAUCAAAUUGAUAAUCAAAUCCUAUCACGAAUCAUAAUCGUAAUUUAACCAUCUGAUCGGUCAAAAAUCUCUUUUAUGUGUGGUCCCAUAAGUUCUAUUCUGUCUAGUAGUGAGAUAUAUUGUGAUCCCUAUUAUAAUAUCAUUGAAACUCUUUUCAAUGGGUUGGAACCGUUCCAACUCUGCCCAUCAAGGAUCAUCGAUCAUCAAGAUGAUGCUUGUGAGUCUCAUAAUCCACCAGUGACACCUAGCAGUAUGUAGUGGCAAUCCAAUAGAAUAAAAGAUGAUGAACCUCUAGGUGCAGUUAACAUAUGAUACAAUCCCUCUAUCGUGAGUUAUGACCAGAUGACGGAUCAUUGAUAAAUCGUCAAACCUCAAUAUCGAUCAUAUGAUAGAUUCAAUCAGCUCGAGUCCAUAUGUGAUUCUAUGAAAACUCUUUUCCAUCAAUCACACUACUAUGGCCAUAGACUUAAGGACUCAGCCUCUCAAAUCUCAUAGGACUACUCUCUUCUGCUAGGAUCGAUAGAUUCCAUCUUGAUGCACACCCUACUCCUACAGUGGAUCAACUAUCGCCAACAUCCACUACAAAAGAGCUCAUUGAGACCUAUAUUGAUGUGUCAGUCAAAUUCCAGCAGCUUCACUACGAGCAGUAGUGCCAUCUUAGAUCAAAGGACUAGUCAUACAACUACAGCAUCGAGAAAGUCACUAACGAAUGAGCAGACAUCCAUGUGACUUCUUAUGUUGGUCACGCUCAGUGCCAGUUAUUCUCUAACAACCACCUACACUCUCACUCCAGUAUCACUACACCGCAGACUCGAGAUCUAUUUGUCUGAAGAAAGCGAUCCGUGCAUUGAUUUAUCCAGAUCAAUCACCAUUCCCAUGAUAAUCCUAUGACUAGGAGUAAUUUAGGAAUCAACCAUCAAUGACACAUGUCUCAAAUUCUCAACUCUUUAAGAAUAUAUGUCAUCAUCUUGUUAAUCUCUUUGAUGAUUCAUGGACACAUAAAUAUGAAUGGUAAUAUAAAUGCCCAAUAGGUAUAAAACUAUGUUCUAGAAAUAUGAUGUGUCAGUCAGAAUUGACUUCUAGGGCAUACACCCAACAAUCUCCCACUUGCAUUAAAGCCAAUCUGCUAUGUACCAAGCCCCAUCUUCACAAGAUAGGCUUUUGUCUCUGGCUAGCUAAAUAACUUACCAAUGGGUCAUCCACAUCUUAUGUAGAGUUUGCUCUCUGCACCUCUGUGUAUUUCUACUGGAGGUAGUCAUGUGUUCUACUACUCUAUGUGUUUGGAUAUCUAGUGAGACCUAAGCUCCUUAGCAAGGGCUAUGGUGCCAUUGUCUUUGCAGUAUAAUAUCAUGGCAUCUGAUGGCACAACAUCCAAUUCUGCAACUCACAUUAGAACCAAAAUACAUCCUAUACAUCUAUAGUGUGCUCAGCUUCCAUCGAUCGAUUAUUUGAAAUCUUUUCAAGAUAUCGAUACAGGAACACACCCCAUGAUGUGACAUUCUACCAUCCACAUCAGAUAUAUAAUCUGAAUUGAUGUAUCCUUCCACUCCUAGCUUUGAUCCUUUUUUAAUUUAAGAACAAAUUCUUAGUUCUUCUUAAGCACUUAAGGAUGUUUUCACAGCAAUCCAGCGCUCUCAGCCUGGAUAUAACUGAUAUCUACUCGUGACAUUCACAAUAUUAACUAUAUCAGUUUAAGUACAUUACAUGGCAUAUAUCUAUGUCCGAGAGGGUAGCAGAUCCCUCUUCGAGAUUUUUAUGCUGAACCUUUUCAGUAUCUACUCUCUAUACUUUAUCUGUAAAAAUAUAAGCAUCUAAUUACAUCUAUCUCUAUAGAUCUUUAGGAUGCUCGCUUUAUGUCUUUUAUAAAAAAAUCUAUAUUUAAUCAUAUUUUAAUCGAUGUCAGUAUUAGAUACCCCCACUGAUCCUUUUGAAAACAUAUAAUUUUUCAUUUCUAAUCAAACAAUUUGAUCGUAUCAUCAAAAUGAUUGUUCCAACUCCAAGAGUAUUGUAGACUUUAUUAUCUCCUAUCACAAGAAGUGAAAUUCAUAAGCUACUCCAUAUAGAAAUCUUCAGAAGAUAUCCAGUCAGGAAAGCUAACUCACAUCCCUUUCUUAGAGUCGAUAUCUUAUAUCGUCUCCAUGCUCUCCAUCUCCCAUGAGAAAUGACUUUCUCUACAUCCUCUGUUAAGCAUAUCCAAAUACCUUUUGAGGAGAUUAGAGAUCCUACUAUAUGUACAAGGUGAAGGAAGAAUAUACGUCUACUGGCUCAUUAUGAAUAGGUUCUUUAGGUCCUACAGCUCAUUGCGCUUCAGAGACACUCUUUGAGCAUAACUUUCCUCCCACUACUUCAUCUUGGUUAAAUAAUUUUUCAAGAAGGUAGUAUGUCGGAUCACAAUCACAUUGUGAUCCUAUCAGAAAGUAGUAUCCUAAACUCUUUUAGGAUGAGCUUUAUAGAUCUAUCCUCUAACAUAUCCACCUGCUGUCCUAGACACCGGCUGGACAUACUUGAAUUUCAAAAUAAUUAAGAUUUAGUUCUCACCAUGUCAUAUCUUAUAUGGUGUGGUAUGAACAGGUUUAGAGAAAACCCAAUUAUAUAGAAAUAAAGCAUGUCCUUAAAGAAACAUAAAUAAAUCAGUAGAGUUCAUUAUGGACCAGACCAUAUCUCAUAUAGUCUCAUGAUUCUUCUUAUCUCGUUGAGCUGAGAUGUACUAAGAGCAAUCCAAUAUGAAACUAUCCUAUUUUAUGAGAUAACUGAAAAAUUUCUUUCAUUGGUAUUACAUACUCGAUUCGAUCGAAAUAUCUUUAAGAAUUUUUCGAUUUAUUUCUUUACUUACAUCUGAAUUCUUUGAACUUUUCAACAGUUUCAGAUUUAUAUCUCAUAUACAUACGCAUACCAUGACUGAUCAUCGGUAAAGAUAACAAAGUAGAAACAACUCCUUGGUUAGCACAUUAUAUAGGCUACACACACAUCAAAUGUGUACAAGGAUAAGUAUCUCAGUGAUCUUUUUUUCUCUUGUCCCAUAAGAGUAGUUUAGUCAUAUUUUCUUAAAGAAAUGAUGCACAAAUUAGAUUUGACUCAAUAGUCAAUAAGCCCAUAAUUCUCUAGUUUGUUAAUCAUUUCUUCUCCAAUAUGACAUAGCCUAAGGUUCUACAUAUAGAUUCAUCUCAAUUCUGGAUCUCUCAGAUCCAACGGUAUUCACUACUUACUUAAUUAAGUUCACAGAUGCAUCACCAUGCAAAUGAUAGAGACUAUCUCUAAGAACUAAAUCCAAACGAUAAUCACAAAGGAUGGAUACCUAUGGCCACAAUAGCAACUGUUGUCCUAUAGCCAAUUUAAGAAUUAUUUUCUCAGCCCUCUACUUUUCCAUCGACUCUAUAAAAAUUACUAGUCUACAGCUCAAUGGAAGAAGAAAAAAUUAUAAGGAUAGUAUUGAGCAAUUUCGACAUGCCUACUCUAGGUGUGUUUUUAUUUCUUUAGGCUCUCCAGAUAUUUACCUCUGAACUCUUUCAAGGUUCCUUUGUUAUCAAUAUUUUGAUCAAUUCAGAUAAGAUGCCAAGAUGGUCUUUCAUAUGGUAGUUUAUUAUAAACUAUCCAUAUAAAUUAAUCAGAGAUUGUAGGAUCAAAUCCAUAAGUAAUUUCUCAUGUAUGGUCAUGUCGAGCCUUUUAGGUUUCUUAAUGUCCUCGAUUAUUAUCAAAUAACGAUCAUAGAUUGACUGCCCAUCAUGCAUCAGAUGCACUGUGCGACUCUGAUCAUCUCAUAACACUUGUAGAUGAAUUAAUGUGUCGUUCACAGUGAAUAUGUGCUCAUGCAUACAUUGAAGUUCAUCUAACAUAGACUUCAAUAUUUAGCAUCUAUCUUAACUGUCAUUGUCCAUCCACUCAUCAAGUAUGGCUCGUUGACUAUGGAUUGAACAUGUUGUUAACAUUAAAAUAAUCUGGUGGAGAAUAUUACUUAAUUUUUUUAAAUUAAGAAUAAUUCUUAAGAUAUAAGCCAGUCUAUGUAAUCGAUUUUAAUUAAUCGAUUAAUAUCUAGGAUUCAAGUUAGAUGGUUGGAAGCUGACAAUGAACAAGAGAGAGCAAAGAUUCUAAUUGGAUGUUUGUACUUAUUUUAUAAUUUGCUCUAGAGACUUUUAGAUGCAAAAAGAGACUCACUAUUUUAUCAGAUCUUCCACAUUCUCCGGAUGGAGAAACAAAAAUUCUAAUACGAUAACUGAAUUUUUAGUAGAUGCUGCGGUCCCACUGAGGCCAUACACCUCACCUAACAGUUAUUGAUAACACGAAUGAACACAGAUAUAUAAAUAACUCUUUGUUUAGAUACUUCUCUAAGUAUGUUGUAGCCACUUGAUCUCUAAAUCAUGUGGGCUCACCUAACAGUUAUUAUCCACACUCCUUAGUUAAGUCAGACCCAUCAUUCACAAGCAGGUGCAAAGCCGUCAUUAGGUCCCUCACCUAACAGUUAUUGGGUCCAACCCCAUCUUUAUCUUGGAGUAAAUCUUUGCUAAUAGAGUGAUCGUGUGUUUCCGAUGCAACUGAACAACUGUGACCAAUCGAGAACAAUCAAUCCGGUAGCACGUCUGCACAUCUACAAUGGUGGAAGAUCUUAGAUUUAAUAUUUAUGGAGAGAUUUAAAUUUAGGUCUCAUCUAAUCGGUCAUCACAUGACUGAUGUAACUGACAUAAGCUAAAUCAAAUCAUCAAGCAACCAUAUUUGAGACUCAAUCUUCCAAAUUGGCCAGAUAAGUGGAGAUUGGUGGGGGUCCCUCCGUUGCUUUCCUCAGACACCAAUAAAUUGGUCAGAUCAGUGAACGAAACCAAUUAAAUAACCAUCUUUCAAUUACUUGUCUUAGACACCAAUUGGUUAAUUGAUCCAAAUAGAUUAGCUUAGGUGAAUUAGAUUCGAGCCAUAGGGCCAAACUAGAUCCUUAGUUAAUCGAUUCUACAUAUAGGUGUCAAUCGAUUCGAUCAACAAUAAUUAUAUGAUCUUUAGCUCUAUUAAUCUUACUCUAAUCGAUACUUGACUCAGUUUGAUCAACUACUAAAUUAAUUUAGACCCAAUAUGAUCAAAUCAGAAACCUUCAAUGUAAUCAAAUUACAUGACCUAAUUUGAUCUACCCAUGACCAAUCCCUUAUGCACAAAUACUAAUUUUAGAUCUCAAAUCUAAAUUUUAAAAUCUAAAUUCUUUGCAUGAAGAAAUAAAUUUUGAUCUCAAAAUAAUUUUAGAUUAUACAUACAAAUAUGUAUCAUAUACAUGAACAAAUUCAGAUCAUAAAAAUAAAUUUCAGUCCUAAACAUACUUUUAUAUAUCAUAUAUAUGAAUCAAAAUAGAUCUCGAAACUCUUUUCAGAUCUAAAUAACAAAACAUAUAUCAUAUAUAUACUAAAAAAAUUAGAUCUAAUUUUUUUUAAUUAAAAAUUUUAACAUCGUUCUAGGACAACCAUUUAGCAUAACAAGUUAUGCCAGGACAACCUUAUGUCAGAACGAUAUCAAAAACUUUCGGAUCUAAAAUUUUUCUCUAUAGAUUUCAGAUCUAAAUCCUAAUCUUAUACAUAUGACGUAGCUCUGAUACCACUAUUGGAGUUUUAUGAUUUCAUGUAUGUAAAAUUUUUCAAAAAUAUGUAGCAAAAUUUAAAAUAUUUUUCAGAUUAAAUCUAAUUUAAUCCUAGCAUGCAUAAGAUCAAAUCUUCAAACUAUAAAUAGGAUCAUCGUAUGUGAGAUAAGAUUUAGAUAUAAAAAUUAAAUAAAAAAAUAAAUAGAGAAUAUACCUUGACAUGGAUCAAUCUUCAUCGUGAAUUGAUAAUCAUAGAUAUUUUUUGAAGGUCCCUUGUAGCCGCACAAAUAUCCGACCUCUACGGAUAUCCACACGAGAUUCUGAUCUAAUCAGAAGCUUUUUGAUCUCACUGGGGUGCUAGCUCCCUUGUAGAGAUCACAUCUUGAUAGUUGAAAAAUCUUCUUUUCUCUCAAGAUACUCUUAGAGAACAAGAAGAAAUAAGAGGAUAUUGAUCUCUACGCUAGAGAUCAUGAGAAAAUUUUUUUCUUCUCUUUUCUUCCUAUAACCCAUGCACCAAAUCUCUACAAUAGAGAUGUAAAAAUUUUGUCCAACUUUUGGAUAAAAGAGAGGAGAGAAAUCCAUGUCUAAACAUGGACAAAAGAGAGAGAGAGAUGUCCAAACAACCAACACUUAGUUGUGUGUAAGAAAGAAAGGAUAUGGGGAUACAUACCUCAUGCUAACACCUACACGUCGUCCCUCUCUCUUCCUUAAUUUUUUGUGCACAAAACUCCUGGGUUUUUGGCAUCUCAUCUGAUCUCUUCUUAGCCUCCCAACAUCCCUUGCAACCCACAUUUAAAUAGGCUAAAGGGCUAAGACUUUAGGUAGGAAGAUAAGAGUCCAUAACACUUAGGACUCUUGAAAAUUUUAUGCCACCCACAACAAGGUUUCAUGCCCAAAUUUCUCACAGAAGAAAAGAAGAUUAAACUCCUUCUUACAUGUUAAAAGGUGAUGGGGCGUGGAGUAUUUGUGGCACACAAAAUUAAGGUGGCAUGGGGCUAUUUUAAGGCACAUGAAAGGAAGAGUUUCAAUCCAUAUAAGACUCCUGUUUAGGUGGCUAUUUUGAAUCAAAUGAAAACUUCAAUCAAUCCUAAUCAUGUUAGGACCAGAUUAGAUCCAAAUAGAUGAAAAAUCAAAUAUGAUUUGGAGUCCAAACUAUUUAGAUUAGAUAUCACCUAAUUGGAGGAGUCCUAGUUC
rnacentral:lncRNA from 1 species